UUCAUUUGUCCGCCGUCCCCAUCAAUUCCAAGACCCGUGUCGGGCCCACUUCCCUUGGUACAAGGCUCCAUAGACCCGGCCACUGCCGUUCUAUGACCACACUUGUCACAACAUGCGGCCGCAAGGGAACUCCGUUCCAGAGACAGUGGAAUGAUCCGCUCACGUUCUGGUUCAAUCAGGUAUUAGGCUUCCCCAUCCCAUACUAGGUAUGAGAUUAGUACUUUCAAACACUUGAUCACCAA
rnacentral:lncRNA from 1 species